CUACGGGCCGCAGCAGUAGGGAAUCUUAGACAAUGGGGGAAACCCUGAUCUAGCCAUGCCGCGUGAGUGAUGAAGGCCUUAGGGUUGUAAAGCUCUUUCGCUGGGGAAGAUAAUGACGGUACCCAGUAAAGAAACCCCGGCUAACUCCGUGCCACGCAACCGCGGUAAUACGGAGGGGGUUAGCGUUGUUCGGAAUUACUGGGCGUAAAGCGCGCGUAGGCGGGCUAUUAAGUCAGGGGUGAAAUCCCGGGGCUCAACCCCGGAACUGCCUUUGCUACUGGUAGUCUGGAGUUCGAGAGAGGUGAGUGGAAUUCCGAGUGUAGAGGUGAAAUUCGUAGAUAUUCGGAGGAACAUCAGUGGCGAAGGCGACUCACUGGCUCGAUACUGACGCUGAGGUGCGAAAGUGUGGGGAGCAAACAGGAUUAGAUACCCCCGUAGUC
rnacentral:rRNA from 1 species